rnacentral:rRNA from 1 species
GACGAGGGGUCCUAGCGUUGUUCGGAAUCACUGGGCGUAAAGCGCAUGUAGGCGGCUUUUCAAGUCAGGUGUGAAAGCCCACGGCUUAACCGUGGAAGUGCAUUUGAAACUGUAAAGCUUGAGUAUGGGAGAGGAUGGUAGAAUUCCUGGUGUAGUGGUGAAAUGCGUAGAUAUCUGGAGGAACACCGGUGGCGAAGGCGGCAUCCUGGACCAAUACUGACGCUGAGGAGCGAAAGCCAGGGGAGCAAACGGG